rnacentral:rRNA from 1 species
CACAAAGGAUAGAUGAAAUCUAAACACCUUUCGAAUAGACCUCGAACCAUUCCAUUAAGUUUUUUAAAUCGUUUAGACUUUAGAUCUAACAUUUCGAUUUAUUCUCAAGUUGAGGUCAUGUUUCUUCAGAAGUGUAAGGUCAGUAACCUUUUUCAUCACACAGUCUACUACACCCUCCCCUACCUGAGUGCGGUUUCUUUACUAACUCUACGGAUACGUUACAUUCCAAUGGGUUACUACACUCACAACAAGGACAAUAGUUAUGGAAAGCGUUUCCAUCAUCCAGCUAAUCGGAGCGUGCGCUUUUUCCGACUAAUCAGUAAAACAUGUACUUAUACCUUCGCUACGACUGAUAAAGUAAGUAAACAAACACUCUCUCCGUAGGUAAAACUCCUUAUAAGUUAGUACUUUAAACGUCACAAGAAGUUGAACUACACACACGAAUACCUUAUUAGUUGAUGUUACCUUAUCGCUAUCUACAUACUAUAUAUCCAUCCAUACCACACUUGUGUACCUUCUUUAACCAAAUCAAAGACCCUAAACAUAUACAUGUGGCCACCUCAAACAUCAUAGGACCACUUCCUUACGUCACGGCUCACAACUUCUCCGAUCGUUGGUUUACAAUGCUUUUUUCUUACUGACCAAAACUUUCUGAAGUCUGACCUCCUUGUAGUUUGAAUUGUUAUGUGUGAUUUAUAAGUCUAACGUUAUUAUUCCGAGUACUUUAGACGAGACUAAAACCGUAACCACCCUAUCUUUUUUAUGAGGUCUUGUUUUCUUAUUUUAGUGGAAGUGGUAUGAAUUUAACCCUCCAAGACACUUAUUUUUAAUCGUUCGAGUCCGGAAAAACGAGUUAGUUACAAGUAGUUAGUGGGUUGCUGUUGUCCACAAGAGAUGGAAGUGCCGAUGUACAUAGUCGACUUUUGAGAGAAUACAAUAAAUUAAGUCAUACCGUUACUUAAGUCUUUAAUAUUCGCUCGAGUUGUCGAUCUGACGGUUGAAUCGUUCUUACGUCAUUAAAGAGAUUGGAUCCAGAGUACUCCUUUAUUCUCAAAGUGUUAACGUGUAACUUAUGUUAGAUCGUAUCGAUUCCGUUGGUACUUUGGAAGGCACCCGUGCUUUCCCAAUAUGGAAGUGUUAGUACACGGAUGACUUAACACAACUAAGGGGUGCAACACGGUGUCCGGUGUA